rnacentral:tRNA from 1 species
GGAGAGGUGACCGAGUGGCCGAAGGUGCACGACUGGAAAUCGUGUGUAGGGGCGACUCUACCGAGGGUUCGAAUCCCUCCCUCUCCGCCA